GCCAUUGGCAUAUCAUUAACAAUAACCGCUCUGAAGCAGGGGAGUCUCAAGAGAAGUCAGGUUAUCCCGGGCUUUCAUCAUCACGGGCAGGGCAUGCUGGGUUUGAGUGUAUGAGUGACACUGAAAUCACUAGUUCAUACAAGAUUGGAGAAAAGAAAGCAAGCAAGAAAGUAUAUUAUAAGGUGAUUCCAGUUUGAAGUAAUUUGACCCCCACACUGGUGGUCUGAAGAUCACCACAGCGAGACUAGAGAGUGCGGAUGACCUUUACUCUGACGUAUUCUCAAUACAAUGUGCUUAAAAUGUCCAAAUAUGUGAUUAUUGUAUAUAAAUAUUAACUGUAAACAUAAUCAUUUAAUGCUACACACUUCCACUGUAGACGUGGUAAUAUAAUUAGUCUGGAUAUUACAUUAAAUAAAACCUACUUUUAUGAAAAAGAAAA